AUUCAGCUGACGAGUCCAAUUCAGGACGAAACGUUCAUCCUGGAU
rfam:Schistosoma curassoni strain Dakar, Senegal genome assembly, scaffold: SCTD_scaffold0003457